CCCAUGAACCCUAAAGCUUAUCCUCCAUUCCUCCUCCCCACGUAGUCAUCUGGCGGCGGCUUGCCCGCAUCUGCAUCUCGCGGUGCCUCCGCCCUCCGCCCACCCACGUCGGGCGCUGCUGCAGCCAAUUCGCCGUCAUCGGCUCAUGGCUCCCCUAGGGCACCGCACUCCUCCCUGAGCUCAGGCCGCCUCAUCCUCCUCCCUGACCUUGGGCUGGUGCUGCUCGUCCCCAACCUCGACGCCGACGCUACUCCUCCCCAACCUCGGCGCCCUCGCUGCUCCUCCCCGACCUCAGCCCAGCGCACCUCCUCCCCAACCUCGGUGCCGGCGCAAUCUUCCCUGAGCUCCUCCCCGACCUUGAGUAGCAUCAGGUGGCUCCCUCUUGAAGCACCAGGUCAAGCUCAAGCCUCCAGCAAAGUUGCAAGCAACAAGAUAAUAACGAGGCAACAAGUUAACUUGGUGGAAAGUUAGUUUGUUAGGAGUUCUAAGUUUUUUUUCUAGACUCUGAUGGCUUAUAUGCUUUCAUGAGCUAUGUUUCAAUAGGAAGGACAGAGUGUUAGUAGUGUUAAGUGAUUUUGGAGUUGUACUCAACGAGGACCAAUGUUUGAAUGGCUAACAUGAUAACUUGUAUCAUUCUGAUUGAUUGGAUUUAGUCGUGAAUGAAUGUGGUUUGUUGGCCCACUAUGCUUGAUGUACUGAACUUGCAACUAAAUAUCUGAGACAAUUGCACA